rnacentral:pre_miRNA from 1 species
AGUGGGAUAGCUGGGACAAAUGGUGGUUUCAUUCCUAGUUUUCCAAGGAAUCUCCACACUGCUUGCCAUAUUGGUUGUACCAAUUUCAGUCCCACCAGCAAU